GGGUGGCAAGUGGCGGACGGGUGAGUAAUGCGCAGGAAUAUGCCUUAAAGUGGGGGACAACUUGGGGAAACUCAAGCUAAUACCGCAUAAUCUCUUCGGAGAAAAGCUGGGGACCUUCGGGCCUGGCGCUUUAAGAUUAGCCUGCGUCCGAUUAGCUAGUUGGUGGGGUAAAGGCCUACCAAGGCGACGAUCGGUAGCUGGUCUGAGAGGAUGACCAGCCACACUGGAACUGAGACACGGUCCAGACUCC
rnacentral:rRNA from 1 species